AUUGAACGCUGGCGGCAGGCCUAACACAUGCAAGUCGAACGAGUGGCGGACGGGUGAGUAAUGUCUGGGAAAAUGCCCGAUGGAGGGGGAUAACUACUGGAAACUGUAGCUAAUACCGCAUACAAUCGGAUGUUCCCAGAUGGGAUUAGCUAUUAGGUGGGGUAACGGCGCACCUAGGCGACUAUCCCUAGAUGGUCUGAGAGGAUGACCAGGCCCACUGGAACUGAGACACGGUCCAGACUCCUACGGGAGGCAGCAGUGGGGAAUAUUGCACAAUGGGCGCAAGCCUGAUGCAGCCAUGCCGCGUGUAUGAAGCAGGCCUUCGGGUUGUAAAGUACUUGCCGCGAGGAGGCGUUACUCGCAGAAGAAGCACCGGCUAACUCCGUGCCAGCAGCCGCGGUAAUUC
rnacentral:rRNA from 1 species